rnacentral:rRNA from 1 species
AAUAAGCGGAGGAAAAGAAACUAACAAGGAUUCCCCUAGUAACUGCGAGUGAAGCGGGAAAAGCUCAAAUUUAAAAUCUGGCGGUCUUCGGCCGUCCGAGUUGUAGUCUGGAGAAGUGCUUUCCGCGCUGGACCGUGUACAAGUCUCUUGGAACAGAGCGUCAUAGAGGGUGAGAAUCCCGUCUUUGACACGGACUACCAGUGCUUUGUGAUGCGCUCUCAAAGAGUCGAGUUGUUUGGGAAUGCAGCUCAAAAUGGGUGGUAAAUUCCAUCUAAAGCUAAAUAUUGGCGAGAGACCGAUAGCGAACAAGUACCGUGAGGGAAAGAUGAAAAGCACUUUGGAAAGAGAGUUAAACAGUACGUGAAAUUGCUGAAAGGGAAACGAUUGAAGUCAGUCGCGUCGGCCAGGACUCAGCCUUGCUUUUGCUUGGUGCAUUUUCUGGUUGACGGGCCAGCAUCGAUUUUGAUCGCCGGAAAAAGGUUGGGGGAAUGUGGCACCUUCGGGUGUGUUAUAGCCCUCAGUCACAUACGGCGAUUGGGAUCGAGGACCGCAGCACGCCUUUAUGGCCGGGGUUCGCCCACGUUCGUGCUUAGGAUGCUGGCGUAAUGGCUUUAAACGACCCGUCUUGAAACACGGACCAAGGAGUCUAACAUGCCUGCGAGUGUUUGGGUGGAAAACCCGAGCGCGUAAUGAAAGUGAAAGUUGAGAUCCCUGUCGUAGGGAGCAUCGACGCCCGGACUUGAACUUCGGUGAUAGAUCUGCGGUAGAGCAUGUAUGUUGGGACCCGAAAGAUGGUGAACUAUGCCUGAAUAGGGUGAAGCCAGAGGAAACUCUGGUGGAGGCUCGUAGCGAUUCUGACGUGCAAAUCGAUCGUCAAAUUUGGGUAUAGGGGCGAAAGACUAAUCGAACCAUCUAGUAGCUGGU